rnacentral:lncRNA from 1 species
GGAUUCGGGCACGCCAACAGACCGCCGAACAGACAGAGUUUCUCUUGUACGUUCUAGGCGUCACAAUCCAUACAAUACACGAGGUUCCAACCAGGAACAGUAUUCAAACACAGAUUGCAUAAGGUAUCGAAAACAUAAUUGCUAUGCUAUUACAAGUAUUCAUCUCAAAUUUUCAUUUUACAUUACAUUCAACUUCCAAAUACAAUCGAUAUUAUUACAAAUUAUUACAAGUCUGUUUCUUUUCAUUUCCACCCCUAAACUAGACCACUUCUGGGUACCACUAUCUCUGGUCAUAAUGGUAGGGCGCUAUCUACGGAGCUACGCCCUUUUCUCGCGCCGCCGCGCCGCUCGCGUUUGAACCUGAAAUUCCCCAAAACAACGUGGGAUGAGAACUAUCUCCAUAGUUCCCAGUGAGUACGGCCACCCAAGGGAGAAGCUCAAUCCACCAGAUCCAAAGGAGGCACUGCAAACAUGUUAGUCCAACAGAUAUCUAUAGAUAUUUUAUGCAAGUAUCAAAUACAUGCGUAUGCCUCAAGAUAUACAAUAUGUAAA